GUGAGCUUCUCAGACUGAAGAUGGCAGAAAUCCAACAGCGAAGAGGAGAGGAGGCGGGAUCCGCCUUCUAGUCUUGCACAAUGUUCCCCUCUCUGCUGGCCCUUCCACCUUGUCUGGGUGCCACAGACCCUCCCCAGGCAGGGUCAUGGUCCUUCCGGUAGAGUUUGAUCAAUCUUAGGCCACCCACAGGAGUGUGAGAUGAUCCUGGCCUCAAAAUUUUCCAACACUGAGCGGUGUGUGAGCUGGCAGAAGGGGUAAAAAUCGAAGGUUAUGUGAUUAAAAUUCAGGGUCUUGGCGUGCUUCUUGCUCUGGUGCUGAAAUGGAGUUGGCAGAAGGUUGUGCCCAGAGAUUUGUUUCCAUGGAGACCUGACAUCCCAUAAAGACAAUCGAGAUCAGCUGCUACAAUGAGGUUCAGACAAGACAUACCAAGACAUACCUUCUCUCACGUUGGAGAGAAGGGACAGGGAGGAUGCGCAGGGUUAGCAAGAGCACUGAAUGAAGACGGCACUGACUCACCAAAUUCAACUGGCAGAAAGCAUGAGGCCGUAUCAUCUCAUACUCCUGUGGGUGGCCUAAGAUUGCUCAAACUGCAAUUGGAAGGUCAAGAAAAACAAUUAGAGGCCCCUCCCCAAGGGCUGCAGUAGGGACAGCUUCCCUGAAGAUGUGUGUUAAUGGGAGCAUCCUAACUCCUGGGGAUGGUAAAGAGCAUGCAGAAGUCCAUGAUUCCUGAAGGUUGUAGUGCAGACCUAGGCUACUUUUCCUGAAGGACAACUGAGAGAGGAGCUCAAAAGGCAGAAGAGUACAGGACUCACCAUCACCUUCACCUUUUACUUUGAACAGCAAAGUGCUUGCCCUAGGCUUGUCCCCAUGCUGGGAUACCUGGCCCCAGGGGCCACACUUGAAGGACUGCAACGAGAUGCCAGGCUGCAUCUGAGCCCUGAGUAGAUGCAGGUUUUGGGUAUGAAUGGAUUUGGCUCUUGCUCUUGCCUUUGAGGUCCUCUCUGUCAUUUCUUCUGGAGGGCAGUCCUGGACUGCAACUGCGAACUGCAGUUGAUGGGUUUUAGAGGAAGUGAGGAGGGGUGAAUAUUUGUUUUCUGAGUGAAUGUUUCCCAUGCUGGCUUUGACUUGGGCAACUUCCUGCUUCUGCCUCCCAAGUGUGGGAUUAUGGUUCCCUUCAUAGUGCCCAGAUCCAUGAGUUGGUUCUGCAUGUGGGGGAAAUGUGAAUGACUGUGGCUGGCACACAGGCCAUGGCAGUUUUACAAACUCCUUCCUUAGGGCCUGUGGAGUCUCAUUUCUUCCCGUAUGGGCUGGAUAUACGGACUUGUUUUAAACAAA